AUGGUGCUUCCUGUGUGACCUCAGGAAAACCUCUUUCCAUCUCCGAGUAUCAGGCUUUUCAUCUGUAAAAUGAAGAUUUGGGACAAUAUUAAAUCUAAGAAUUCCUCUCAUCCUCCAUGUGACUCUUGGAUAUAAUGUUUUUGUAAUUAUUUAUCUGGUUGGCUUGGGUAGACUUAUUUACUCAUAUGAGGAUUUUGGAUUUGACGAUCCCUGGAUGGGGUGGGAGAGAUGGGAGUUUGGUGUGUGUGUGUGGGGGGGGGUGACACAAUUAUCUUUAAAAUGUGAACACACCUGUCUCAGAACUCAGCUUCCUAAGGGCCUGAAGAGAAAGCCUGUGAGCCCCUGGGACUACAGUGCAAAUGCCAGCAGUGCUUCCAUAAGGAGUGCAGAUUUGUGGCAGGUGUGGUCAAUUUAAUCCCUUCCUGACCAGAUGUAAACUAUAAAGUCAGAAGCCAGGCCGCCGUCUUUGCACUAGUCCUUUACGCUGUCAGCACAUAAAAUUGGAGGAAUGGCAGAUGCUUUGCUUUCUUCAGAGCUGGCUCCUUUCAAUCAACGUUUAUUAGCCCAACUCUCCCCCCAGAAGGCUACUUGUCAUGCACUCCGAUGCUCUUCCCCCACCCUCCUGCCACAGAAGUGGAAGCAGAAUGGAUUUAAGAAGAAUUCUAUCUUCUCUCCUUCCCCCACGUCAAAUAUCCCGCCUAAACUAUGGGGUCACAGACUGCCAUUUCCUUCACCUGCGUCCCCGAGUCCCGCUUUCGUUCUCUUUGAUAUGUAUCCUUUAGUUCCAAUUUCGGCAGUCCUCCAAUCUCGGAUUUACUUGUGCUGACCAAGAUUACGCCCCCACCCCAUGCCUGCCUCAGUGGAGUUCUCAGACUUCCGGGUAAUCAUGGCUGCAAUCUAGAUGCCACACGCUUCCUCUCCCCGGCACUGAAUGAAAUAGACUACAUCAAAGGAGCAUAAAAAUCACCUUUGGAGGAACAGAAGGACACCCCAGUACUCCCCAGUAUCCCACAGAGGCGAAGGAAUAAUGAAGUAGAGGAAUUCCAUCGAGACUGGAACAACCUCCAGGAAGUGAUGCAGAGCGAGAGGAGCAGAACCAGGAAAACAUUGUACACAGAGACUGAUACACUGUGGUACAAUCGAAGGUGAUGGACUUCUCCAUUAGUGUCAAUGCAAUGUCCCUGAACAAUCUGCAGGGAUCUAAAAAAUACUAUCCACAAGCAGAGGAUAAACUGUGUGAGUAAAAACACCAAUGAAAAGCAACUGCUUGACUACAGGGGUUGAGGGGACAUGACUGAGGAGAGACUCUAAAUGAACACUCUAAUGCAAAUACCAACAACAGGGAAAUGGGUUCGAGUUAAGAACACAUGUGAUAACCAGUGGAAUCAUGCGUCGGCUGUGGGAGCGGGGAGGGGAGGAAAAGAAAAUGAU